GAUGAACGCUGGCGGCGUGCUUAACACAUGCAAGUCGAACGGAAAGGCCCUGAUCUUGUGGGGUGCUCGAGUGGCGAAGGCGUGAGUAACACGUGAGUAUCAUGCCCCUGACUUUGGGAUAACUUUAGGGAACUGGGGCUAAUACCGGAUAGGAGCUCCUGAUGCAUGGUGGGGGUUGGAAAGUUUCGGCGUUUGGGGAUGGACUCGCGGCAUAUCAGCUGCUUGGUGGGGUAGUGGCUUACCCAGGCUUUGACGGGUAGCCGGCCUGAGAGGGUGACCGGCCACAUAGGGACUGAGAUACGGCCAAGACGCCUACGGGAGGAAGCAGCGGAAAAUAUUGCACAAGGGGCGGAAGCAUGAGGCAGCAACGCCGGGUGCGAGAAGACGGCCUUCGGGUAAGAAACAGCUUGCGCCUGAGACGAAACGUGAGUGACGUUAAUGGGUAAAGAAGCACCGGCUAACUACGU
rnacentral:rRNA from 1 species